GGAAGGAUGAAUGAAUGUUAUGAAUGAGUGUUGCUUCCAGGACGACAUGAAGUUUGAAAAGAAUAAAUAGCCAACGAGAGGCACCUGCCCCAAUGCUGGUUAAUUGCAAUUUUUAAGCCACAUUUCUUUGUCUCUAGUGUACGGGGAUGACAUGAGUACAAGGAGAGCAGAUCAAUGAUGGUGUCAGAUUUUCUUACUUUCCACGUUGCGUUUGACCUGGAUGGCACGAACGGUAGUCACAACUAACGGGGAAAAUGAAACCGCCUGUCCUGCUUUUAUCACCCUAAUGAGCACAAACAAAAAUAUGUAGAGAAACGCUUUCCCCAAAGUUCUCGAGGUUACUGCUCCAAUCCUUCAGCUGUCCCUGAGCGAGCAGGGACAAAUGUCAAUUGGUACACCACGCAAAGGAUUUGUGGGACAAUUCAAUCUUUACCCUAAAAAAGAAAGAAAGAAAAGAAAUUGUGUGCAAUAACAACAGCUGCAACUAUAAUAGCCUUAGUGACAAUCAUUGGAAAUUAAAGAGAGAAUAGGAACAUAAUACAUAAAACUACAGCAUCUUAAACACUUAACCAUUAAUGAACUCUGUUUUGUGGCUUUUGUAGGCUGGAGUCCACAUCAUUGGAUGGAAGUCUGCAAAAGCUUCUGCAAACAUGGAAUGUUGUCAGUCUUUAAGGCGACCCAAGACCAUUUUGCAUUGGAUAGGGAUGGAGGAGAAUUUCAAUUCACAUCGCAUUUAAAGGUGGGUCUAACUUAUUCACACUUUUGGAAACAAUAUAAGACGAUAUAAGAAACAUAGCAGGGCUUCAAAAUUUGCACAGCUCUGGAUUUUGCAACGCAGUUCUCUGAUCAAGCAAUGUUCUAAGAAAUGUGUAUAGGUGGAAACAACAUACAGGAAAAAUUAGAGGUAAUUGCUUUGCAAAAAUGUGCAUAUUAGGCAAAAAUGCACAAGGACACACUAGUGAAUCUUCGUGAGCAAAAACAAACAAACUUCAAAUGGAUGUAGAAGUGUGGAUAAUUGAAUUUAAGACUGGAAAAAUGACAAAGAGGGAGAAACAGAAAUUGACAGAUUUGCCCAUCCCUGGUGCCUGAUGGAACAAAAACAGCUGCCCCUCUGGAAUAAGGACAUAAUCCCAGUCUGACAAAAGGUCCAUUUUGUCCAGUAUCCUAUUUUAACAAGUGGGCUCCAGACACUUCUGGAAGCCCAUGAUCAAGGAGCUUGAGUUUAGUGUUCUUGCAAACUAUUCCAUCUAAACAUGAUCAGCUUCCUUCUAAACCUACUAUGAACAGUCAUUGCCCUCAACCAGAGCCAAUGUGGUAUUGUACAGAAGAUGCUAAACCAGGAGGACCUGGUUCAAAUGUCCCAUCCUACAGCUCCAUAAGUGACCAUAGGCAAAGCAGUAUUUCUCAGCUAACAAUUCUACCAUCUCAUUCUGUGGCACAUGUAGACGGGGCAUUGGUGUUCUUCAAAAUGUGUCAUCGUCCCGUCCCCCCCAUGUAUGGUCAGGGCAGGUCCAAUACAUUUUGCUGCCUGAGGAAGAAUGCUAACACCUCUCCCUCCUCCAAUUCAAGGUGCGUAGUACUUGAGGAGGGCCAAGUUAAAAUCCCACAAUCACCUCUUAUUGUUGUAUUGUCACUUACGCUAACAAAGAUACCUUUGCUGUCCCUUCUUGACAUCCAAAACAAGCCGUCUGAGGCACUCACUACACUCUGCCUAAUGGUAGGGGCAGCUGUGUCUAGGAUGUCACUCUGCCUUGGUGCAGCCUCCUCCCUGUUCCAGAGUGGGGCAGGCCUGUAUGGAUUAAAAUUGAAUACUGGACGCACAUGCCCAAUUCCAUGUGCCACCUUCAAAACGCUUACCUAAAAUUACAGUUGAAUUGGAUUAAUAAAUGAAUGCAAGAUACUAGAGCUUAAACGGGGCUCUGGAGAUGGUGCAAUCAAACUUCUCGAGAUGUCAGCACAGCACUUAGCAGUAUUUAACAGUUGCAUAAUAUAUGGAAAUUCACUUUUGUGUUCCCAUGCUGGGAGAUAUUUCAUCUGCUGACAUUCUGAUGGCGUCAUGCAGCAAUACAAAGCAGAAGAGCCCUGCCAGGGGGGGAAAGUUGGCAACCUUAGUUUCAGCUUUUCCAAGGCUUGACCCCUACACUUGAAACUGUAGCUUUGCUAAAGGGUCAGAAAAGUCCUUGUCAUCCCCCUUCAUUGCACUGCAACGGCAGCUAUUUAACCAGCUUACACACACCCUAAACUGUGUUAAAUCCAGAUACUUAGAAAAUCCUGGGAAGCGAAUCAUUUCUGUUUCUCUUCCCUAAAAUCCUGUUUGCUAAAACCCAUUUAGUAGAUGAGAGAAUAUUCUUUUCGUUGUGAAUAAGUGCUCAGGUUCAUUCAGUCAUUCCUGUUAACUGCCAAACGCGCCCCCUUUCUCCAGCAUAUAGGAUUUCUAUGAAAGCAUGAUUUAAUUUGCAGUUAAUUAACUCAUCAAAUCAUCAUUCUGAUUAAUCAAUUAAUGCUUUCAGACCCAACCGAGACAUUUGUAAUUUCUUACGAAUAAAGUGGGCCCUUUUUUAAAUUCAUAUGGCAUGGUGAUCAGCCGAAGUGAAUGACAGGCAGUGUAAGUGAUGCUUUGGACUAAAGUACAUGGGAUGCUCCUUCAAUUAAAGUUUGAAAGCACUAAUAGCCAUUGAUUUGAUUCAUUCAUUAACUACAGAUUAAAAUGUUGAGUUUACAAUCAGAACUCAUCCAUUGUGGGGAAAGGGUGAGCAAUACGUUUAGGCAUGAAGCAUUGGGGACAAGAGCCUUGGAAGGGUUGCCGUAAUACUGGAAUGUCUCUAAGCAUGUACAAAGUGCUUUUCCGUCAUUGGUGAGCCUGAAAAUAGGCUCUGGUUUGUUUGUUUUUCAAAAUGUUGAAGUAUUCUGCACAGUGGGGAAUCUGUGGCAAACAGACUUGGUAUUGGGGGGGGGACGUUGGGGCAGUCAUUGUGAUGCCCUCUAGAUGCUGUUGGACUACAACUCCCAUGAGCCACAGCCAGCAUGGACAAUGGUCAGGGAUGAUAGGACUUUUAGUUUAACAGCAACUGGCUGGCAACACAUUUGCUACCCCUGGCAAGGUGUCAAAAGAAAUUCAACUACACUCUUUAACCACAGACAAUUGAGAGACAAACGAAAUGGGUGUGUACAGCACAGGCAGAGAUGCCUCUAGUAUAGCUCUCUUAAUGAUGAUGUGCAUCUAGGCAGCAGCAGCAGCACCACCCCGCCCCAAAUGGUAAAAUGGUUUAGCUCCAGGCACCUCUUCAUGAUCAGAAAUAAGCAUUCCUGGGGGAAGGAACCAUAGCACACAGGGGUGGGACUGAGCGCGCUCACUUCUCCUGCAAAAGUUCCCAGGUUAAUGCUUGGGCAUCAGCAGCUGCAAAGGGGCCAAGGGAUCCCUAAUAUUUGCUGCGGCUCUUGGUCGCAGACAAGCCCCGCGCAAAAACGAGUUUGCAAAAAAGACGAGCUGGUGCCUUCGCAGCGCGCGUAAACUUGGUUGCAGGGUCGCAGGAAACCCCUCACCUUUAACAGCUGUGAAAGGCAAGAGUUUAAACGAGCGUCACUCUCCCUCACAACUCUGCAGGGCAAACUUGCUCCGGUGCCCUCCCUCUCCUUUCUUUUCAGGACGGAUAAAAGAAAGUCCUUCCACUGCGCAGCGGCGCGUUGUUGAACUACGGAACUCGCGCCCGCAGGAGGCAGCGAUGAUGGCCACCAAAUUGGAUGGCUUCAAAAGUGGAUUGGACAAAUUCGUGGAAGGGGGUAAGGCUAUCAAUGGCCGCCAGCCACUAAGGUCAUGCUCGGCUUCCACAGUUGGAGGCAGCAAUGCUCCUGAAUAUCAGUUGCUGGAAAUCACUGGGCUCUUGGGCUCGGGUCUUGCUUGCGGGUUUCCUACAGGCAUCUGGGUGGCCACUGUGAGAACAGGAUGCUGGACUAGAUGGGGCACUGGCCUGAUCCUGCAGGCUUUUUCGAUGCUCUUUUCUCCCUUGCAUCAGGUCACACACACACACACACCUCCACCUCUUCUCCUUAAAGGAUAGUUAUCAUGACAGUUAACAUCCAGGAAAGUCGUCUUAAUCCUCCCAUCAAUGAAAAGCAAAACAAGUAACCGAGCAACAAAAGAUGUUUUUAAUUGUUGACAGCCCCACUUUUUUGCUAAGGAACCCCGGGAGACCCUGCUAUGGAAGGGCAGGCGCAGUUAGGGGCGCGCCCCACCACCACCGCGUGCCAAGGGAGGGGGGUCUCCUUCGAAUCCAACGCCUGCUCUAACGGAUGUCUGUCUUGGAAUUCAGAAAUGCCUGCGCCACACACACACACACACACACACACACACUGUUUUUUGUGUCCUAGACAAAAGAGAAACCCCCUUGUUUCUCUUGCGAAACCAUCCCAGCGUCGAAGGAAAGGGAAAAGGCUCGUGGGGCCGGGGGAGGAUUUGUCUUGCUGUAAAUCACCCAUCCUUGUCUAGGACUGCUAGCGCCUCCGCCCUGCUUAAGCACAUGCGUAACUCUCACCAAAAUAAGUGAGACUUAUUCGUUUUAGUGGAUCGGUGCCAAAAAAAUUUUUUUAAUUGUUUUACACAGAGGCGUUUGAAAACAGCACAAUUUUUUUUUUAGAAAGAGUGAGUGGGUGGGUGUGUCAAAGACGUGGACAUAAAGAAAAUACGAAUUCUUAGUCUCUCUCUUUCUCAUAAACCGUUUAUGCUAUGCAAUCAAAUAACUUGUGCUUUCUUUUUUAAGCGAAUCAAGCUUUAUUGAGUAUAUAUUAUAGAUUAUUUUUUAAAAAAUAAAUAAAUAUAUGGAUGGAUCUGGAUAUCCUGAGCCAGGAUCCCAAAAACGUUGCUCGUGGUCUUUGCUGCGCUUGCCCUUCUUUUUAAAAAAGCAAGCAAAAGGGAAAAAGAAAAGAGCAAUCCCAUUUAUGCAAAGGCGUCCGCUAGCAAAAACUUCCUAAGGGUGUGUGAAAUUGACUAAUCUCUCAUGGCUUAAUAUAAAUAGCAUUUGCUGUCGCCUCUGGUGGCGUUGCAGGAUCCGUGUCUUUCCUCCUCCCUCCCGCUGCCCAGCGAGAGCGCACCGCGGCUCUGCCAGGCGUUAACUUAUUUCUUCCCAAGCGAUGGGCAAUUGUCUUCUGCAGAGAUUUUUCUUCGCUGCUUCUCUCUCCGGCGGAAGAACCAUCUGCAGCUUCCAGCUUUCUGCAAAAAAAUAAAAAAACCCCGAGCGCUCUCUCCGUUUGCGUUCAGGCUGGGAAGCGAUCAACCCAGAACAGGACGUCCCAGUUACAAAUUGAGGGAAGCGGGCGCAAACAAUAUUUUUCUUUUUAAGGAACCAAAAUUCCUGCAGCUCGGUCCAGGUUGAAUAACCUGGUCGGCUUUAGUGGAUUUAAAAGAAAAUAUAUAUACCUUCAGCUGCAGUUAAAACAAGCUAAAACAGGGUUUGCAGCAGGUGAGGUUUUGCAAACUCCCCACCUGGAAAAUCUGCACUGCCCCAACCCCCAAUGUGAUGCCCUCAGUUAGGAAAGAGUUUGGAGACGGCCUCGAAAAGUGCUGCUUAAAAGCCAUCUUUCCCCCCUUCCUUCUUCCAGAAAGGGUGUGUUUGUGUGAGCACGCGCGCAUGUGUAUGCCUAUGUACAGUAUAGUGUGUGUGUGGCCUCAGCAGGAUGAGAGCAGAAAACUUAUCCAGGGAAGCUUAUCUAUCCCCUUGGGACUCUUGGGAGGGCUGCGUGUCCGUGCGUGAUGCUCUCUAGUUGUCCCUUACGGCCGUGGCGCAAAAGGGAAUCGGGAAGGCGCAAGAGCCACUUUUCCACAACAGCCCCACGCAGAGGGAAGUCAAGGCUUGGCGUUGCCGCCGCCCUUUCCUGGGCGCAAAAGUCCAGAGACCGGCUGGGGUGUGUGGCGCGCCUGAGCGCAGUUGGCGAGGUGUCGUGGGCAACUGGCGAAUACCUGCCUUUGCUCUGCAAACCGUUUUCAUUGGCCAGCCCUUGAUCUGGGGCUCUUCUGACUUGGCCCCCAUUGCACUGAUUUACUGGGCGCUUUAGUUCAAGAAGGAGCGCCUCUGGCCAAUUGUAGCCUGUGGCCAGUUUUAGCUUCUCCUGUGUGUGGUGUUUGUGUUAAGGCGCUUGGUGUUUCAAGUACAGGCACGCACGCACCUCGCAACAGCUCCUUCCAGACAGCGACUAGGAUGACAGGGAAAAUAAUCUGAGAUGGGAUCUGAUACAAAGGAAAAAAUGAGUUUCUUUUAAGCAUCGCUUCCUUUUUUUUAAAGAAAGCGGGGAAUGGCAGUAAUCCAGAGAGGCAAGACAGUCAUUGAAUCCAAGCAACAUUCCCAAUUAAAAUAAAUAAAUAAAUGAGAUACAUAAAAUCGAACUUUUCCUCUCCUUGCAGGACUUGCUGAGCCCGUUUGCAAAACCUAAAGGAGUUAAAACAACAACAAUUAUUUUGCAAAGACCAGCAGAAGGUGGGAAAGGGGGUUGUUAAAGAAUUGCUCAGACUCUCCAGAUCAAUGGCUUGUGGGGGUCAUUUCCGACGUGGAAGUCUUUUGAGACUUGCCCCGCCCCCCUACACCUCUCCACAUGCUGAUUGCAAACGGUUUUUAAAAGUUCCAAGCUCUGGAUUUCUGGGCUGUUAAAAACUAAAACCCUAAAAACUGUCGGAGUUAUAACCACCACCGCUUUAGAGGCUCGGCAGACAAAACAUCUGGUUCGUUAGGGCAAAGUUGCUGGAAAACAGAAAAGAAAACUUUGCUGCCGUGCAAAUUCGCUUACCAAAACAAUUUACAUUCGAGAAAAGGUUCUUAGCCAAAAUGAACAAACGUAGUAUCCUUUUUCUUUUUAAUUUGUAUCCGAGGGCUCUGGGAACCCACAAGUAAUUUCCAACAGAAAAUACGUUGUUAUUGUUGCUGUUUCAUAGCACUUGGGGCAAUUUCCCCCAGAGCUCCGCCUCCCACAUUUCAGGAUUAAUGAUUACUUUUCCAACUAUUUCCCCUCCCCACCAAUAUUUCCACCACCCUUCAAAAAAAAGAAGAAAAAAAAGAACUGAAGGAUGUCAUUGGGAAGGAGUGAAGAAGGAGUUAUGGGAGGCUGUGUGUUUUUUUCCAAGCCUACAAAAACCUCAGACCCCUCAUAUUUAUGUACAUUCAUUUCUCCCUUCCUUACUGUUCGUCAAGGAAGGGAGGGGGGGAACACACCCAAUAUUUUCUUUUCCUUCCCUUGGGAGAAAUUAAAAUUAAACUUGCAAUUAAAAUCGGGGGAGGGGGUGGAACUAGUUGUUGCUUCACCUUAGAACAAAAGAAAAUGUUGGCACAGGAGGGGGGAAAUUAUUACCAAGUUACUUGUUUUAAUAGACAGGCAAGAUAUAUUUAUGCUACAAACACACACACGUCCCUGGACCUUGCCAAUUUCAUUCUGCCUUGCCUGUUUACACUUACACACACUUACACACACACACACACACACACACAGAAAUAUUAGGGAGAAGGGUUCACAGCCUCUCUAAGAAUGAGUAUCUGAUUCUUAAUACUACAAAUACAAACUUUCUUGGGGAGAUGGUAGGAAUCAGAUCCCAGUCUAAAAAGGUCGGCCCCCGCCACGCACGCACACGCACACGAUCAUCCCCUUGCAGCCUUCUCAAUAACAACACGACUACCUUUGCUCAUGACGUUGUUCUGCAAUGUAUUUCUGCAAAGAUUUGCAGCUUCCAGACUCUCUCUCUCUCCAAUCACAGGCCAAACCUGUCCUCUUUGCAGGAUCAGAUCCUCAAGUUCCCUUAAGCCCUUGGCAAAUGUAGGGCUUUCCCCCCUCUUUUUACUCCCAGUUUUAUUACUCGAGGCCUAAGCAACACUCCUACAAAGUACGCAAUACUUCUUGGGUGAACUUUUGAUUCCUUCUUAAUGACGUUCAACGCGAAACGACCGGGUUAGUGCAAGGAUUUGGGGAGGUUAGGUGUUUGGCUGUUUGUGCUUCCAGCAAGAGAAAAGAUGUAGGAACUAAGGCAGGUCCUCUACGAAGCUGGUCCCAGCCAGCAGCGGCGGCAAAUCUGCGUCUGUGUAGCCAUGCCCAGUUUGGUACCCACGCCUCAAAUACCUAAGGAUAGAUCAUCCUUGCCAGAUUGUCUGCCGCUGAAAAAGGAGGCAAUUCCUUUGGAAGAUUUGAUCUUUUCGGAAGCCAAGUCCUUCCUCUAAUUCUGCUAAAAUCAUCAACCUUCCCAAUGUUAUUACGACCGUUUUAGGAAUACUGGUAAUCAAGCUUUCAUUACAAAUAAGUUUCUUUUAUCUAAAAAAAAAGGGGGGGAGUGUAUUUGAGAAGUCAACUUUAUUAUGGCGUUACAACCCAGUAGGAUAUUUUCUGCUUUGUUUAAUAAAACAACUUUUCAUAGCAAAAAAUGUCAAAAGUUCCUUUAAGAAAAUAUAAAUAAAUAUAAACAGUUAUAGAUAGGUGUGUAAAGCCUAGCAGACGUGAUUCCCUACGGGGGCAAGUUGCCCCCCCCCCCGAAAGAAGAGGGGUUUUAUCUGAAAACUGCCAUGUUUAGCAGACUUCUUAGUUUCAGACCGGUGCAAAGGUGGCACCCCCCAUCUCUCUCCAUCUGAGCUACCGAAGUUUUCUGAAAUGCUACGCUCAUCCCCCAAUCCCGAAACGGCAACACCUUAAUUAAAACAAUUGCAUUUUACGUCCUUAGUUUCUGAUAAGAACCAUUAAGAGACUCUCCUCUUUUUGCAAAAAAAAAUUAAAACGCCCCCCCCCCCCCAAGAACAAGCCAAACUUGUCAGCCCAAAUUCUCCAGCGCCUUCCGUAAGACUCAUUCCAUAGAGAUGUAAACUCUCCCAGGUUUGAGUCCCCGGAACAAUUAAGACUAAGGAAGUGAAUUAUAAAGGGAAUCCUUCCUCUCCUCCCAUCUUACAUUAUAGCUCUCUGGUUUUACCAAAAGAAGAAGAAGAAGAAAGCGAAUAUUGUUUCUGAUACGUGGGGGAGGAAGAUCAAGGUUUUCUCUCUUUUUUUCUCUUUACACCUAGCACCCUGGCUGGAGGGGGCGGGGAAUAUCCCCUCCCUGAAAAUUCUAUGCCAUUUUGCAGGUAUUUGACUAAUUAAAAAAGAAGCAGUUUCACUGGGCCUGCCUUACUAAAAUGCAGAUCUUUCUAAUUUAAUAGCUGCAGGGGAAAUGUGUGUGUGUGUGUGUGUGUGUGUGUGUGUGUGUGUAGGGCUAGACGACUUGUAGUGCCCUUCGCUUCCUGUCCAAACUCCUCUGCCUCUUUCCAUCCAUCCAAUUCUGGACCACUGUUUAAUAGAAAAGUGGUCCAUGGCAUCGUCAGGAUGCAAGAAGAACAGGAUUAGAGAAUGAGGAGUAGAUUGGUUGGGGUGGGGGUCACAAGUUUGUGUUGGGUUCUUGUGGUCCUUCAGACACACCAGGGGUUCCUGAUGCGACACUCAGCUCAAGGGGAAGUGAAGCCAAUGAAGAGAAGGAUCCACAUUAUUUGUGGCGGGGGCGGGAGCGGGGAGCGAGGUCAGAAGGAGGUCCUUUCCCUCCCCACCCCCCGGUUUAAAAUUCUGACUUACUACUCAUUUGCACGCAAAACCGCCUCCCUUCCUGGCCAAUAAAACUGCUAUUAGCUGGCCGUUCUUCUAGUUCUAAAGCACUGUGGCCUGGAAGAAAAAGGAAAGUUUUGCUUCGGUGCAAAAAGUUAAAGGAUCUCUCCCGUUCGGGUUGCAAAACAGGCCUCUAUCUCUGUCCGGACCUCAUGGCUUUCAGUUACAUCUUGUCUAACUCAGAUAUCGCCUAGUGUACCCCCGCUCCUUUGGGGCAAAAAACCCCACAAACACGCACACACACACACACACACACACACACACACACAACCCUAAUAACCACGAGCGAUUCUCACGCUGAGCAAAAACUCUCAAUAAUAACAGUCUCAAUUGCGCGCACGCCUUGCUUUGGACACCCGCGCAUUCUUCCCUUUAGAAUCGUGUGCAGCUCUCUGUAGCUGGUCACACAAACCCCGUGCGCUUUUACGCGGUUUGACAAGCAUGCAUUUUGGAAAGCUGCUCCAUUUCUCCGGAGUUUGUUGGGUCUCUGUCUCUCUGCUCUCCCCUCCGCCGCCGCUUCAAGACUUUGCGCUCAUGAUUGCUGCAAAGGCAAGCUGACCCCUUCUUCCCUGCUUAAGUUGCCCCGCGCGCGUGAGUUAUUGGUGCGGAAUCUCCCAGCCUCCCGUUCCGCCUGCCCGGCGCUUGCAGUUGCAACGCGCGCAUCCCGGGUGACACUGAUGGAUGCGCCAAUGGGGGAGAUGGACAGAUGUUGGGGCGGAUCUAACGGCAUGCAAAGCCAGAGAAGCAGAGGGAACUCGGAGCAUCGGGAUUGCGCGGAAAUAAAAUAGAAAACUCACUCAUUCCUGGUACAAACAACCCGCCACCAACCCACCAGCAAAGUCAGAGAGGAAAUGUUUCUUCUUCUAUUGUUGUUGUUAUUAUUAUUAUUAUUAUUAUUAUUAUUAGGGGUAGGCUAAGGGUUUGCUAAGCAAGCCCUUAUCGCCUCUGGCGGUGUCCAGAUCCUGGAUCCUGCAACAGCAAACCGACGCCAAUGCAAUGGAGCCCAGCGACCCUGGACAAGACAACUCACCCUCUUCUGCUCCUAGGCAAGAGAAUUAACAUUCUCCCACGCUGGCGGUGGCAAUUUCCCGAGGACUGCAAAAUACUUUUGCUCUCUCUCUGUUUGUGCAUGUGUGUGUCUCAUCCUAAGGGACCGUCUCUCUCACCCCUCCCUUUGUUAAAAAAAAGAGGAAACCAUCCAACAACAGCAUAUUUUUCCCUCCCCCUGCUACUCUUCAAUGCAAAAAAAGAAGAGAGAGAAAGUACUUAAUCCCUUCCCCCGCACAGCAAAACCCAACAUCUGAAAACAUCUGUACCGAGUGAGGGUCUUGGGAGGCAUCCCAAAAUCUUCAAAGACUAGGACAGACUGCAGUGUGUUUCUUAAUUUUUUUAUAAAAAAAACCCUUACUGUGAAAAAGUGAGAUCACACUCUCCCCCCCACUCAAAAAAGCACGAGAUUACACACAAAUUGUUAUCAUCAUCAUCAUUAUUUUUUUAAGAGAGGAAAAUUCUUUGCUACUGAUGUUUGCUGCGCUUAAGCAAAAGGAUCUGGGUCUCCAGGCGCUUGCCCGGGCAUUGCAGGGAGCUGUUAUUAAAUAUCUCUCAGCCACACAAAGAAAAGAGAGCGGGGAGGAAGAGAGAGAGAAAGAGAAAGGGGGAGGGGGGUGCAAUUGGCAGUCGAGAAGGUGCUUGGCUCUACCUUCUGAUCCAUGUUCAUAAAGCACUUGAAACGCAGUUAAGAGUCCAUCCUCUCUUCUCUGGCUCCCCCUCUUCCCUCCUCCCUCCCUUCCAUUCCCUCUGCCGUACCCUAUUGCAAGCCAGGAACACCCAAUCGAACGCGCAGCGCAUCGAUUCGCCAAGCGCUCUUUUGGCAAGGGAUUUCUUUUUCUUUCUUUUUUUUCUUUUUUUUUUUUUAAAAAAACCCACCCUCCUAGAUCUCUUUCCCCCACCAAUGAACUUGGACUUGCAAGGCGGGGUGGGAGCGAGCGAGCGACUGAAAGAGCCUCUUUAAAAAAAUAAAAUAAAAAUUUUAAGAAGUACGUGGUGUGAUGUGUGGUGAAGAAGACAAUCUGGGAGGCUUGUUUCUUUUUGCAAUGGACCAAGCUUAGCUGGUCUUUAUUGUUAUUAUUAUUUUUUUCUCCUUCCCUUCCCCGUACUGUUUGCAAAGAUUUCCUGGGGGACCUUUGCAAAGAUGAGGACAGAGACGUGAAGGAAGGCAGGAAGAGGAGAGGGGGGGGCGGGAGGGGGGGAGAGCUCCUAAAGUGGAUCCCCUCUGCAGCAAGAAAGACGAUUGCAAGCCGGAAACCUUGGAUAUAUGCUUGCAGGAGCCUGAAAAAGCACCCAGCAAGGAAGGCUGGUAAGUCAGGGAAGCAGCAAUGCUAGAGGGGGGCGUGAAUCCCGGAGGGGCGCAUGAAUGCUGUGGGCCCCAGAGAGAGAAGCGAUUGGAGGGGCGCUGCUGCUUCUUUCCUUUCCUUUUUAAUACUGGGUCCUGGGUGGAGUGUUUUGUUGUGGGGCAGGGGAGAGUUGCACGUGCAACCCAGCUCCUACUUAUGCGUAUUCGGAUGCAAGUACCACCGACUCCGGCGGAACUUCUUCCCAAGUCAAUGUCUCUCUCCUCCCCCCCCACCCGUCAAAAACCCCUUCCUUUACGUUGGUGGAUUCACGAAUCCUAAGUCCCGGGACCCCUGAUCAAAGCAGCAGGGUCAAGUUUCAAAGGGGCUUGCACCCCCUAACAAGGAGUUUGCACCUCUGUUGCUGGACUCCUGCGGUUGACCUAUGCUGCUAAUUAAUAAUAAUAAUAAUAAUAAUAAUACUUCCAGAGAUUUUGGCAUGCGGAACACAGUCCUCCAGCCUAGAAAAAUACUUUGUCCCUUCUGUGCUCUCUCUCUCCCCCCCCCGAAUCCCCCGCCCUGGUGCUGCCACUGAAUGGGGGGGGGAGUUUAGAGGCGCCUGGCGGUGGUUGAAAGGGAAGGGAGCAGGAAGCACCCCUGAUAGCAGAGCUGGGCAGACCUUCUCCCUUCCUCUCCCGCUGGCCUCCCUUGACAGAUCUGCUGUCAAGGCCUGGAUGACCGGAGGGCGGCCGCGUUUCAGGAGGGGUGGGCAGGCGGGAGAGGCUGCCUGGAAGAACUCUGGCUCACCCCUUCCCAGCCAACCCCCCCCCCCGCCUGCCAGCCACCCCCAUCCGCAUGCCUUCCACGCACUUCCCAGACUUUACUUUGCUGGAGGAAUUCUCCUCCGAGCUGGAGAGGAAGGAAGAUGAUGGAUUUCUUAUUUCUCCCUUUUGGAGAAAAAGAGAGAAGGAUCUCUAAGCCACGGGGUUUUUGUUUAAGGGGGAUUCUUUCGAGGGAGUUGUCUGAGAAAGGGAGGGAUUGGGACCCUGGAGCAACAUAGGGAGGAGAGGUCAAGAAAUGGGAGCUUUCCAGGAAUCCCCCCUGGGGAUCUUUGGAAGGGAUCUGGACUUUGGGUGGGUGGUCUUUGAAGCUCACGAGAUGGGCUUUCUCUCCAAGUUAAUUGAUCCAGGUGGGAUAAGGGGAGACCCAAAGUAUGCCUUGGAGAGGUUUAGACGGGGGCUGAGAGGGCGUUUAGGAUAUUGGGGGGGGCGGUAUCCCCAUCUUUGUCCCAUUGGCCUAGAUCUGAGAUUCCCUCCAGACCUCAGGGCUUUGCAAUAGGAGCGGGAUCGGAGAGCCCAACCGAGGUGGGACCCCCAAACUCCUGUCGGGUGAUGGGACGAGAAGUCUCAGGUAUUUUUCCUGCUCCCCAAAAGAGGUCUGUCUGGGGGGGGACAGGGGGUCCUGCCAAUGCUGUCCUGGGGGUUCCCUCUGGUUGUGGAGGUGGGUGGAAACCUAGGAGAUGCAGCCCGAGCACAGUGUGUGCGUGGAAAGGUGAGUCUCACCUGUGGGACGGGACGAGGAGCCGCUCUUCCUCUCCUCCUCGGCCACUCCUGGGGGUUCAGGCUCCGGGCAGGGACUUCCAUGGGAUACCCAAAAGGUGGCUUUCAGAACUCUCACGCGUGGUGGCUGGGGCGAAGUGGGGGGGGGGAGAGGAAAGAAGGACGGCCCACCAGUUGGGUUGGGGAAGAGGCAUGCUCCUCCCCUGCUUUCCUUGGGCAGCUUGGCAUCUGAGACAACCCCCUGCCCGCUCUGCUGCAGACCGGGCACCCUCGAGAUCACUCGCUCUAAGCUGAUGGGCGCCGUCGAGGCUGCGGAUUGAAUUGAGCGGGGAGGGGACGGGUUGGAGGAGGAGGAGGAGGAGGAGGGAUCCUCCCCCCGUCCCUCCUUGUCCCCUCCCCCUCCUCCCGGCUGCCAUCUGGGGAGGGGGAAUCCCCUCUCCUCCUGCCUCCCCCCCUCCCCACUCCAGAGCGCUCUUCUUUCGCGCGUGGCCCUUGCUGCGUUGCUGGGCGGCUGCCGCGCGAGGCGCAAAGAGUUAAGGCGGCAGCGGCAGCUUCGGCGGCAACGGUGAUGGGCGCCCCCCUCUCCCUCCCUCUCCCUCUCCCCGGCGACUAGUUGGAGUCACGCUGCGAUCAUCUCUUUUUCCCUUCAAGCUUUGCCUGUUGCCUCCGCCGAAGC